rnacentral:rRNA from 1 species
UACGUAGGGUGCAAGCGUUAAUCGGAAUUACUGGGCGUAAAGCGUGCGCAGGCGGUUGUGUAAGACAGAUGUGAAAUCCCCGGGCUCAACCUGGGAACUGCAUUUGUGACUGCACAGCUGGAGUGCGGCACAGGGGGAUGGAAUUCCGCAUGUAGCAGUGAAAUGCGUAGAUAUGCGGAGGAACACCGAUGGCGAAGGCAAUCCCCCGGGCCUGCACUGACGCUCAUGCACGAAAGCGUGGGGAGCAAACAGG